AUUGAACGCUGGCGGCAGGCCUAACACAUGCAAGUCGAGCGGCGCUGCGGACGGGUGGGUAAUGACUAGGAAUUUGCCUGUUAGUGGGGUACACAGUCCGGGAACGUGCCAUUAUCCAGCAUACUUUCAGUGCAGUCUAGGUUGGAUUAGAUAGUUGGUGGGGUAAAGGCUUACCAAGGCGACGAUUCGUAACUGGACUGAGAGGAUGAUCGGUCACACUGGAACUGAGACACGGUCCAGACUCCUACGGGAGGCAGCAGUAGGGAAUAUUGGGCAAUGGGCGAAAGCCUGAUCGAGCAAGGCCGCGUGUGUGAAGAAGGUCUUCGGAUUGUAAAGCACUGUAAGUAGGGAGGCGGUACCAACAGAGUAAGCACCGGCUAACUACGUGCCAGCAGCCGCGGUAAUUC
rnacentral:rRNA from 1 species